GAUGAACGCUGGCGGCGUGCCUAAUACAUGCAAGUCGAGCGAACAGACGAGGAGCUUGCUCCUCUGACGUUAGCGGCGAACGGGCGAGUAACACGUGGAUAACCUACCUAUAAGACUGGGAUAACUUCGGGAAACCGGAGCUAAUACCGGAUAAUAUAUUGAACCGCAUGGUUCAAUAGUGAAAGACGUUUUUGCCGUCAUUUAUAGAUGGAUCCGCGCCGCAUUAUCUUGUUGGUAAGGUAACGGCUUACCAAGGCAACGAUGCGUAGCCGACCUGAGGGGGUGAUCGGCCACACUGGAACUGAAACACGGUCCAGACUCCUACGGUAGGCAGCAGUAUGGAAUCUUCCGCAAUGGGCGAAAGCCUGACGGAACAACGCCGCGUGAGUGAUGAAGGUCUUCGGAUCGUAAAACUCUGUUAAUAGGGAAAAACAAAUGUGUAAGUGACUAUGCACGUCUUGACAGUACCUAAUCAGAAAGCCGCGGCUAACUACGUG
rnacentral:rRNA from 1 species